rnacentral:lncRNA from 10 species
CGGCCUACAGGUUGGACAAGUUUGGUUUAAGUUUCCUUUCAUUGACCCAAACUUCUAGGCCUUUGUAUCUAGAGAAACCCAAGCCUACCUUCACCUGGGGAGUGGUGAUCUGAUUACCCUCCUGCAACAUCAGUAAAACUAUGGGUACUCCAGCAGCAAGAAUGUUGUGUCCCCAGCGCAAGUGGGAUGGAGAAAAGAGCCUGCUGCGAGGCUGCGUUGGUGUGUGGUCCACUGACAGACACUGGGAAGAUACCUUCUUCAUGUUUCGAGACAAGGUGGCCACAUGUGACCUCAGAGAUGGCAUUUUCAAUAGUGGAAUGUGAGGUACUGUGCUGGGGUAAAGAUGGAAUGACUUACCUGCUAUUCCUUUUAUUUAGAGGUGAGUCUAUUUCUUUUCCUACUGAAUCUGGGUUGGCCAGUGAUUUGACACGUAGAAUGUGGCAGAAGUAUUACGUUGGUGCAAAAGUAAUUGCCAGUUUUGCCAUUGAAAGUAAUGGUAAAACUCGCAAUUACUUUUGCACCGACCUAAUAACAUUCUAGGAUGUCUGAGACUCUGUCAUAAGAGCCUUGCAGCUUC